UUUUUAUUUAAAAUUUUUAAACAACUUAAUUGCAGCAUCCAAACAAGCUCAAAUUUCAUCUAGGUACUUUGAUUUAUGAAUGUAUGAAGAAAAUUAAGACGACUUAACAAAUAACAAUAGAUUAAUGGGAAUAAUUAGCAGCAUGUUUUAUCAAUAUGAUUUUCAAGUAAGGCUUCCGGGACAAAGGCUGCUUAGCAACAGAACAGUGAGGUGCUUAACAAAUGUCGAGUCAUUUUUGCCAUGGCCUCCGGCCUUGAAGAAGUCACAGUCCUUUCCACAAGAUUCUUGCGGAGUCCGCGUGUUCAAGGAGCCUUAAAGUAUGAAUCACCUUAUUGGAGAUCCUUAGCUGCAAAUCGUAUUCAAGUUGCAUGGAGAUACAGGAAGAAACGUCUAAGUCGUGCUGAUUCUGCAGUUUAAAAUUUAAAAUUAAAAUAGAGUGCGAGUAUCAUUACCAUAUAAACUUGUAAUUGUGUAAAUAAUAAAAGACAAAAUUGUAGUCUGAAAAUUUUCAAUAUAGAAGACAACUGUUGUAACUUGUAAAUGAAUAGCUGACGUGGACGUGUUUUGCAGGUACGGCCGCUUUUUGGGUUUCUCGCAGGUUGCGUUUUGUAGGGGCGGUGGCUUUUAGGGUUUUGAUAGAAAUUUUAUGUUAUAUAAUGCACUAGCUGGGAGGAGAAGUACUUCAUAGAUCUAGAUCUGUAAUUGAGAGAGAUAGAGAGAAAGAACGAAAGAAGCACCGGCGAAGACGAUGAGGAAUUUCUUCGGUGCCCACUGAGUAUAUAUGAUCACGGUCACGCAUACGGGGAUGGAUGCGGUUGGCAAGGAGGUCAAUGUUGAUGAGCUCGGGGAUAUAGAUUGGGAAGAAGAUAACAAUGACAGUGAAGAUGAGUUUGAAGCCAACUAUGAAGUAAAUGACAAAGACGAUGACGGAAAGCUGGCAAGCAAUCUGGCGUACAAAAUGAAGUGCAUGCGAUUAUAAGUCAGCACCCCUUUGGUGUUCUGUCUUUUAUGCUGACUCUGGAUCUCGAAGCCAUGCAUGUCAUGGAACUUCCUGAGUAUGCGAAUAUGGAUAUGUCAUGAUUAUUAAUUAAAGUUACCACUACCAUUUAUUUAAUUUGCCUUGUCCGACUAACGGUGGUUCACAUGUCAUAGUGAAGGCAAUGUUGCGGCGGAAGAUGGUGAGUUUAGUGUCGAAAUGGAAUUUGGUUCUAGAGAGUCGGUGAUAUUUGCAAUCAAAAGCUACACUAUCUCUAGAAGAGUUGAUUACCUGUGUAUGAGUCUGAGCCAUAGACAUUUUAUGCAAAGUGCAAGGGUUAUGGUGCAAGGUGCGAUUGCUUAUCUGACAUAGCUUAAUUCGAAAGAAAGGGUGUUGGGAGAUCAGGAGAUAUAAUGGCCAACACACCUGCACCAUGGGGACGAUUUCACAAGAUCAUGCCAAGUUGGACUCAGACACAAUUGCAGAUGCUAUUAGGCCGUUGGUUGAUGCAAACCCGUCGAUAAAGGUGAAGUCUAUUAUUGCAGAAGUUCAAUCCAAGUUCAACUACACUGUAAGUUAUUGCAAGGCUUGGUUGGCAAAGCAAAAAUCUGUGUAAAAAUUUUCGGUGAUUAGGAGGUUUUUUAUCAGACUCUGCCAGUAUGGUUGAAAGCAAUGACUGCAAAUAUGUUCUGGUCUCGGGUUCAACUAAAAACGCUCCUUGUUUACCGUGAGAGUGAGGAGGUUCAAGGUGUAAGAGUUCUCCAUCGCAUUUUUUGGAGCUUCUAUCCGUGUAUGGUAUCGUUGAGACACUGCAAGCCAUUGGUGCAGGUUGAUGAUACACUUUUAGUUGCGGUUGUACAAGAUGGGAACCAAAAUAUUGUGCCUAUUGCAUUUGCGAUAGUCGAGGGUGAGACGACAGACGCGUGAGAGUUUUUCUUAAGCAAUUUGAGGAGAUAUGUUGUUACCAUUAAUGGUGUGGGCAUUAUUUCUGAACGUCAUAACUCCAUCGACGCAGCAAUAGCUUGCGAUAAUGGUGCAUGGUCACCACCAUGAGCGUGACACAUGUUCUGCAUCAGGCACAUCGGGUCCAACUUCUUAAAGAGGUCAAGGCUCCGUAUUUGCAUAAACUCGUGGUUAACACAUGUAUUUAAAUUCGCUGUUAUGGUCUUAUUCAUAGUAAUUUUGUGGCAUCUGCUUUUGAUUACAUGGUUUGUUCAACAAGCUAUUCUAGGACGGAAUAGGAGUACAACAAAAAUUCCAAAAGGCUUAAAGAGCGGGGUGAGGCAUAUACUCAAUGGUGCGAUGAGAUCGGUGUUUAGAGAUGGGUGUUGGCAUUCGACGGGGUCAUCGUUGGAGAUAUAUGACAACAAACUUGGUAGAGUGCAUAAAUUUUAUCCUGAAGGGUGCACGCAACCUUCCUAUGACCGCCAUUGUUAGAUCUACUUUCUAUCGGCUAAACGAAUUGUUUACUCGGAAAAGCGCCGAGGCUCAUGAGCGUGUCUACAACGGAUUCAAGUAUUCAGAAUUUGCUACCAAAAGAGUUGAAGAAAGUUUUCAAUGUACAGGAAACAUUGUCGUCAAUCGGUUCGACAGGCGCAAUGAGAUGUUUGAGGUUCGCGAAAUGCAAGAUGGUUCCAUUUACACUAUUAACCUUGCGCAACGACACUGCGAUUGCGGCUAUUUCUAGGUCGAGCGACUCCCAUGUCACCACGUUCUUGCAUGUUGCGCUAACUAGCGUCUUGAUUGGCAAGUAUAUGUAGAUGACGUGUACAAGAUGUCUGAAAUUUGCAAAGUCUACAGAGGAAAGUUUGUUCCAAGGUUGUCAAACUCGCGAGUCUAGGUAAAUUUGUGAAACUGACCUAGACUCGACUCAAACUCGUACGAGUUUACCUGUUAUAUAUAUAUAUAUAUAGGCAUUCAAACUUAACAAUUUUCACAUCAAAACACAUAAUAAAUUAACAUAAUACAUUAAUACUACAAUUAUAUUAAAUACUCUCUACCACACAUUUAAAUCCUUCACAAGUAUGCAUCUAGUUCAACAUAAAACACACAAUCACACAAUUAAAGCUUCAUAUAACAUAACCAAAAAAAAAAGAAGAAAACAACAAAGCAACAAUUAAAUGUUCUAAUAAAGUAAAAGUCUAAAACUGAAAUCCUCCAAUAUCUUCAUCUUCAAUGGCAUCAACAUCGUCAUC